GAACCCAAAAACUUUGAUUUCUCGUAAGGUGCCGAACGGGUCAUCAUAGGAGCCCGUCCGAUCCCUAGUCGGCAUAGUUUAUGGUUAAGACUACGACGGUAUCUGAUCGUCUUCGAUCCCCUAACUUUCGUUCCCUGAUUAAUGAAAACAUCCUUGGCGAAUGCUUUCGCAGUAGUUAGUCUUCAGCAAAUCCAAGAAUUUCACCUCUGACAGCUGAAUACUGACGCCCCCGACUAUCCCUAUUAAUCAUUACGGCGGUCCUAGAAACCAACAAAAUAGAACCGCACGUCCUAUUCUAUUAUUCCAUGCUAAUGUAUUCGAGCAAAGGCCUGCUUUGAACACUCUAAUUUUUUCACAGUAAAAGUCCUGGUUCCCCCCACAGCCAGUGAAGGCCAUGAGGUUCCCCAGAAGGAAAGGUCCAGCCGGACCAGUACUCGCGGUGAGGCGGACCGGCCAGCCAGACCCAAGGUUCAACUACGAGCUUUUUAACUGCAACAACUUUAAUAUACGCUAUUGGAGCUGGAAUUACCGCGGCUGCUGGCACCAGACUUGCCCUCCAAUUGUUCCUCGUUAAGGGAUUUAAAUUGUUCUCAUUCCAAUUACGAGACCCAAAAGAGCCCCGUAUCAGUAUUUAUUGUCACUACCUCCCCGUAUCGGGAUUGGGUAAUUUGCGCGCCUGCUGCCUU
rnacentral:rRNA from 1 species